GAUGAACGCUAGCGACAGGCCUAACACAUGCAAGUCGAGGGGCAGCAUAAAGGUAGCAAUACUUUGGUGGCGACCGGCGCACGGGUGAGUAACACGUAUGCAACCUGCCUGUAAGAGGGGAAUAACCCGGAGAAAUCCGGACUAAUACCGCAUAAUACUGCGAAUCUGCAUGGAUUUGUAGUUAAACAUUUAUGGCUUACAGAUGGGCAUGCGUAUGAUUAGCUAGUUGGUGAGGUAACGGCUCACCAAGGCAACGAUCAUUAGGGGUUCUGAGAGGAAGGUCCCCCACACUGGUACUGAGACACGGACCAGACUCCUACGGGAGGCAGCAGUGAGGAAUAUUGGUCAAUGGGCGAGAGCCUGAACCAGCCAAGUCGCGUGAAGGAAGAAGGUUCUAUGGAUUGUAAACUUCUUUUGUAAGGGAAUAAAAAGUAGUACGUGUACUAUAUUGUAUGUACUUUACGAAUAAGGAUCGGCUAACUCCGUG
rnacentral:rRNA from 1 species